AUUGAACGCUGGCGGCAUGCUUUACACAUGCAAGUCGAACGGCAGCACAGGGAGCUUGCUCCUGGGUGGCGAGUGGCGAACGGGUGAGUAAUGUAUCGGAACGUGCCUGGUAGUGGGGGAUAACUACUCGAAAGAGUGGCUAAUACCGCAUGAGAUCUUUGGAUGAAAGCGGGGAACUUUGGGGCUCGGGCCUCCGGAAGCGGCGGAUAUCAGAUUAGGUUGUUGGUGGGGUAAAGGCCUACCAAGCCUGCGAUCUGUAGCUGGUCUGAGAGGACGACCAGCCACACUGGGACUGAGACACGGCCCAGACUCCUACGGGAGGCAGCAGUGGGGAAUUUUGGACAAUGGGCGCAAGCCUGAUCCAGCAAUGCCGCGUGCAGGACGAAGGCCUUCGGGUUGUAAACUGCUUUUGUACAGAACGAAAAGUCUCUGGCUAAUAUCUAGAGAUCAUGACGGUACUGUAAGAAUAAGCACCGGCUAACUACGUG
rnacentral:rRNA from 1 species